GCAUGCAAGUUGAGCGAAGCUUUUUGGUAGUUUACUACUAGAAAUGACUGAGCGGCGAACGGGUGAGUAACGCGUGAGCAAUCUACCUUAGUUACUGGGAUAGCCCGAGGAAACUCGGAUUAAUACCAGAUAUUCUUAUUUUUUCACAUGAAGUUUUAAGGAAAGGUCAGCCGAACUAAGAUGAGCUCGCGUUCUAUCAGCUAGUUGGUGGGGUAAAAGCCUACCGAGGCUACGACGGAUAGCUGGUCUGAGAGGACGAUCAGCCACACUGGGAUUGAGACACGGCCCAGACUCCUACGGGAGGCUGCAGCAGGGAAUAUUGUGCAAUGAGCGAAAGCUUGACACAGCGACACCGCGUGUGGGAUGACGGUUCUAGGAUUGUAAACCACUUUCAGGAGGGAAGAAAAUGACGGUACCUCCACAAGAAGACCCGGCCAACUAUGUGCCAGCAGCCGCGGUAAUACAUAGGGGUCAAGCGUUGUCCGGAUUUAUUGGGCGUAAAGAGCUCGUAGGCGGUUCAACAAGUCGGUCGUAAAAGUUUAGGGCUCAACCCUAAAAUGUCGAUCGAUACUGUUGUGACUAGGAUACGGUAGA
rnacentral:rRNA from 1 species